rnacentral:rRNA from 1 species
GAUGAACGCUGGCGGCGUGCCUAAUACAUGCAAGUCGAGCGAACGGACGAGAAGCUUGCUUCUCUGAUGUUAGCGGCGGACGGGUGAGUAACACGUGGAUAACCUACCUAUAAGACUGGGAUAACUUCGGGAAACCGGAGCUAAUACCGGAUAAUAUUUUGAACCGCAUGGUUCAAAAGUGAAAGACGGUCUUGCUGUCACUUAUAGAUGGAUCCGCGCUGCAUUAGCUAGUUGGUAAGGUAACGGCUUACCAAGGCAACGAUGCAUAGCCGACCUGAGAGGGUGAUCGGCCACACUGGAACUGAGACACGGUCCAGACUCCUACGGGAGGCAGCAGUAGGGAAUCUUCCGCAAUGGGCGAAAGCCUGACGGAGCAACGCCGCGUGAGUGAUGAAGGUCUUCGGAUCGUAAAACUCUGUUAUUAGGGAAGAACAUAUGUGUAAGUAACUGUGCACAUCUGGACGGUACCUAAUCAGAAAGCCACGGCGAACUACGU